AGCAAUGCAGCUUGACUGCUAACUAAUUCACACUGUUUUGUAGGAGACUACACUUUGACCUGCAGGAAUUGAAUACAGAAGAUUGUAGCCAGGUCUGAAUCAAAAAUUGCCUCAGAAUUCACCUGCCUUCUAACUCUGUACUAAUGUCAGCCUUCUUUGGGUUCCCACUUUGUGGCUUUUGUAUCUCAAUGGUGGUUCAGGGCAGAUAAAGGUGUGGAGGAGUUACUUUGGUGCCCAAGUAGUGAAUCAGUCAGAUGCCAACAUUAAGUGAAGGAACAUUCUCCUCAUGGAAGAUUCAGUCAGCAUUUCAGCUACUUCUGAGGAGGAUUCCAGGUGUCUACUUGAAAAUAGAAAGUGUUCCCAGGCAAGGAUUUCUGUCUGUAUUCUGCACUCCUGUACUCACAAAGAAGAAGAAAAUUUCUUACAAAGAGGCAAUGCAGAGCAGUUGAUGGAGAAACUGACUUCGACAAGAUACCUUUAGUUUCUACCUUGAAAGAGUUAAAGGUAAAAUUGAAGGGAAAAAUUGAAGCAGAGGGAGCACUAAGAACUAAGCAAUGAGAGAGUCUUAUGAAUUCAUGGCAUAUGUGGUAGAAAGUGGUUACUGUUUUGCAGAACUGCAUUAUUUGAGAGAUACAAUUCCACAGCAAUCUUUACCAACUAUUCUUUGGUGUUUUCAUGAAUUACAGCAAUAGGAAAUUAUUAGCUGUACAUGCCCUUGGCAGCCUCCCUGCAUACAUCCCCUUACUGGCUGCACCUGGAGCUGAGGAGCAAGCCUGCCUUGGGUAGUGUGGUUAUGCCUGAUGUGGUUAAAAUUAAGAAGCAGAAAUCAGAGCGAUGCUGAGGACUGCAGGGCUGACCACCACCUCACCCAGACUAGCCCAUGGCUCUUGCUGAGCUUGCAUGUGCUGGGUGUUGGCUACCUAUCAAAGCCUGUGGUGGUGCAAGGCAGAAGGAACAAGUUCUCCCACGUGAAGAAAGAAAAGUGUGUGUGGCUGAAGGAGGAAAUAAAGCACUGAUCCCACAGUCUUUAAAGAUAAACUAUGCAAGACUCUGAAGGGUUGAUUAUUU